rnacentral:rRNA from 1 species
GACGAACGCUGGCGGCGUGCUUAACACAUGCAAGUCGAACGGAAAGGCCCUGCUUUUGUGGGGUGCUCGAGUGGCGAACGGGUGAGUAACACGUGAGUAACCUGCCCUUGACUUUGGGAUAACUUCAGGAAACUGGGGCUAAUACCGGAUAGGAGCUCCUGCUGCAUGGUGGGGGUUGGAAAGUUUCGGCGGUUGGGGCUGGACUCGCGGCUUAUCAGCUUGUUGGUGGGGUAGUGGCUUACCAAGGCUUUGACGGGUAGCCGGCCUGAGAGGGUGACCGGCCACAUUGGGACUGAGGUACGGCCCAGACUCCUACGGGAGGCAGCAGGGGGGAAUAUUGCACAAUGGGCGGAAGCCUGAGGCAGCAACGCCGCGUGCGGGAUGACGGCCUUCGGGUUGUAAACCGCUUUCGCCUGUGACGAAGCGUGAGUGACGGUAAUGGGUAAAGAAGCACCGGCUAACUACGUG